GAAAACAGCAAAGAAGAGAAACGAGGGAAGUGGAAAGAAACAAAAUUGUUUCAUUUGGGAGUUUAAAGAGUGGAAUUAAAGACAUGACAACUUAACUUUAUAUUAUUAAUGUCUCAUCCACACACUAAAGACUGGUCUGAGAUCUGUGUGCCUCCAGAACAGUGUUUGGUAACCAUCAAAGAGCUGUGUUUAAACUAGAAGCAGACAAACUUGUUGAACUAGUUGACAUCCCCUUUGACCCGGACACGCCAACCCUUGGCUCCAGCUGUCCAAGGACGGGCAUCAAUUGUGCCAACUGGGGGUGUGGCAGGAUCUGCCCGACACCCCCGAGCGCUUGGAUACAAUGGUCAUCAUUCUCGGGCGUGAAGGUUUCUCGUCCGGACGGCGAUACUGGUAGUGUUAGGUGGGCGAGAAGGACGACUGGUACCUGGGUGUGGCCCGGGCAUCCGUGAACAGAAAGGGGAGAAUUUCAGUGAGCACACCUCACGGUUACUGGGCUUUAGCAAUGAAGAAAAGUCAAGGGUAUCGAGUUUCCUCCUCACCGCCCCUCCUGCUCUCUAUUGAACCCAAGUUGAAAAGAGUCGGCGUGUACGUCGAUUAUGAAGAAGGACAGGUGUCGUUUUAUGACGUACAAGCCAAAAGUCACAUCUACACUUUUAUGGACUCAUUCAAAGAGAAACUCUAUCCAUUUUUUUACCUGUACUGUUGUGAUAAGGCCUCUGACACCAUGACUAUCUGUCCUGUAGAGGAGAAAUCACACGUGAAAGAGUGUUGAAUUACCUUUGAAAGAAUUUCCUUUUGUGUUUAAAAAUAGAUUUUGGAAUUAAAGGUAAAAAUUGAGAUGUGCAGCACCACUCAUGAUUAGUUUCAGAUUUCAUAUAGAGGUGGUUACCCAGACCGGGAUUAUUUUAAGACAGGACUAGGCCUUAGUUUAAUUAAGAAAUAUAUAUAUUUUUAACAAACAUUCCUUACUAAAAACCUUACUUGUGUGCAUUUUGAGGCAAAACAAAGGGCACUGAUGGAUUUUAAGAUAUGUCAGUGGGGCUGCACAGUGCCUUACAGCAAGAAGUUCCCCGGUUUGAGCCCUUGCUAGGUCAGGUGGCUUUUCUUUGUGGAGUUUGCAUGUUCUCCCUGUGUCAGCGUGGGUUCACUCUGGGUACACCAGUUUCCUCCCACAGGCCAAAAACAGGCAAGUUAGGCACAUUGGAGAUGCCAAACUGUCCCUCCCCCAACCUGUGUAUGGAUUAACUGGUUCCUGUCAUGAAUAUAGCCAUGGAUGCUGGAAUGGUGUAAAUACAUAAAGGAAGAAGAUAUGUCAGUGCAAAUUGUUUUCAGUAUGGACAGCUCUUACAAUCCCUGCCUGGGAAACCGCCCCAUAGUGCUCAAAUUUUAUUUAUAGUCAAAUUUUUGUCAGUUUGUUUAAAUUGAAAUUGU